GUAGGGUGCGAGCGUUAUCCGGAAUCAUUGGGCGUAAAGAGCUCGUAGGCGGUUCAGCAAGUCGGCUGUGAAAUUCCGAGGGCUCAACCUCGGAACUGCAGUCGAUACUGUUGUGACUCGAGUCCGGUAGAGGAGAAUGGAAUUCCCGGUGUAGCGGUGAAAUGCGCAGAUAUCGGGAGGAACACCAGUAGCGAAGGCGGUUCUCUGGGCCGGCACUGACGCUGAGGAGCGAAAGCGUGGGUAGCAAACAGGAUUAGAUACCCUGGUAGUCCACGCUGUAAACGUUGGAUACUAGGUGUGGGGUUCCGACCAACGGUCCCCGUGCCGAAGCUAACGCAUUAAGUACCCCGCCUGGGGAGUACGGCCGCAAAGACUAA
rnacentral:rRNA from 1 species